UUUGUGCCAGCAGCUGCGGUUAAACAAAAAAUACAAGUAAAUAUUAUAAAUAUAUAAGUUAAAUUGAAUUUAUUUAAUUAAUAAAAAAAAUUUAGGUGAAAUUUUAUUUUUUUUUAAUUAAUAUAAAAAAUUAUAUUGAAUCUUGAAAAUUUUAUUUUUAAACUAGGAUUAGAUACCCUAUUAUUUAAUUAUUUAAAAAUAUAAAUAUUAGAGUAGUAAUAGGUAUGGUCUUGAAACUCAAAAAAUUUGGCGGUAUUUUAGUCUAUUCAGAGGAACCUGUAAUGUAAUCGAUAAUCCACGAUGGAUCUCACUUAAUUUUGUAAUUUAAUUUGUAUAUCGCCGUUAUUUGAAAAUUUUAUAAGAAAAAUAAUUUUCUAAAAUUUUUAUUAAAAAAUAAAUCAGGUCAAGGUGCAGUUUAUGAUUAAGUUUUAUAUGGGUUACAAUAAAUUUAUUUACAUGGAUUAAAAAAUGAAAUAUUUUUAAGAAAGUGGAUUUGAUAGUAAAUUUUUAAAGAUAAAAAAAUUGAUUUUAGCUCUAAAAUAUGUACACAUCGCCCGUCACUCUUKUUAAUAAUAUAAGAUAAGUCGUAACAUAG
rnacentral:rRNA from 1 species